rnacentral:rRNA from 1 species
GUGGGGAAUCUUCCGCAAUGGACGAAAGUCUGACGGAGCAACGCCGCGUGAGUGAUGAAGGUCUUCGGAUUGUAAAGCUCUGUUAAUCGGGACGAAAGAGCCUAGUGUGAAUAAUGCUAGGAAGUGACGGUACCGGAAUAGAAAGCCACGGCUAACUACGUGCCAGCAGCCGCGGUAAUACGUAGGUGGCAAGCGUUGUCCGGAAUUAUUGGGCGUAAAGCGCGCGCAGGCGGAUCUGCCAGUCUGUCUUAAAAGUUCGGGGCUUAACCCCGGGAUGGGAUGGAAACUACAGAUCUAGAGUAUCGGAGAGGAAAGUGGAAUUCCUAGUGUAGCGGUGAAAUGCGUAGAUAUUAGGAAGAACACCAGUGGCGAAGGCGACUUUCUGGACGAAAACUGACGCUGAGGCGCGAAAGCCAGGGGAGCGAACGGGAUUAGAUACCCUAGUAGUCC